rnacentral:misc_RNA from 1 species
UUAACUAUUAUAUAAUUACUCAGACGACAAAUAUUCAGAGUUUGAGGGUCUCUGGCAGGCGCGAUCCAGCUUACGCCGGCAGCCGAGAAGGCUGGCCUGCCAAAGCAACAAAGUAUAAUAAACAAAGGGUGGGAGAUCUACCCCAAAGGGCAAGUUCUCGGUAGUGAUCCUUCCGCAGGUUCACCUACGGAAA